rnacentral:rRNA from 1 species
UAGGGAAUCUUCGGCAAUGGGGGCAACCCUGACCGAGCAACGCCGCGUGAGUGAAGAAGGUUUUCGGAUCGUAAAGCUCUGUUGCAAGAGAAGAACGUGUGUGAGAGUGGAAAGUUCACACAGUGACGGUAACUUACCAGAAAGGGACGGCUAACUACGUGCCAGCAGCCGCGGUAAUACGUAGGUCCCGAGCGUUGUCCGGAUUUAUUGGGCGUAAAGCGAGCGCAGGCGGUUUAAUAAGUCUGAAGUUAAAGGCAGUGGCUUAACCAUUGUUCGCUUUGGAAACUGUUAAACUUGAGUGCAGAAGGGGAGAGUGGAAUUCCAUGUGUAGCGGUGAAAUGCGUAGAUAUAUGGAGGAACACCGGUGGCGAAAGCGGCUCUCUGGUCUGUAACUGACGCUGAGGCUCGAAAGCGUGGGGAGCAAACAGG